UACGUAGGGGGCGAGCGUUGUCCGGAAUCAUUGGGCGUAAAGAGCGUGUAGGCGGUUUGAUAAGUCUGCUGUGAAAGUCCAGGGCUCAACCCUGGGAUGCCGGUGGAUACUGUUGAACUCGAGUCCGGAAGAGGCAAGUGGAAUUCCUGGUGUAGCGGUGAAAUGCGCAGAUAUCAGGAGGAACACCGGUGGCGAAGGCGGGUCUCUGGGCCGAUACUGACGCUGAGGAGCGAAAGCGUGGGGAGCGAACAGG
rnacentral:rRNA from 1 species